AUUGAACGCUGGCGGCAGGCCUAACACAUGCAAGUCGAACGAGUGGCGGACGGGUGAGUAAUGUCUGGGAAACUGCCCGAUGGAGGGGGAUAACUACUGGAAACGGUAGCUAAUACCGCAUACCCUCGGAUGUGCCAAGAUGGGAUUAGCCAGUAGGUGGGGUAAAGGCUCACCUAGGCGACGAUCCCUAGCUGGUCUGAGCUGAUGACCAGCCACGCUGGAACUGAGAAACGGUCCAGACUCCUCCGGGAGGCAGCAGUGGGGAAUAUUGCACGAUGGGGGCAGGCCUGAUGCAGCCAUGCCGCGUGUAUGAAGAAGGCCUUCGGGUUGUAAAGUACUUGCAGCGAGGAGGCGUUACUCGCAGAAGAAGCACCGGCUAACUCCGUGCCAGCAGCCGCGGUAAUUC
rnacentral:rRNA from 1 species